CAGCUAUAGUUUUCUUGGGUGGUAGUGUUUUUCUUUCCUUUUCUUUCAGAACUUUGAAUAUAUUAUCCCUGUCUCUCCUCACCUGCAAGGUUUCUGCUGAGAAAUGUGCUGAUAGUCCUACGGAGUUUUCCUUUGAAAUGCUGACCCUUCUUCACCUGCCACCAUGAGUGGAAACAGCAUGAAGCCCUCCCGAGAAGCCAAUAAGAUGAAUGCUGAUGCCAUGCUCUUGUACAGCCUGCAGAACCAUGAGACAAAUAAAAGCCAAAUUAUACUUUUCUG
rnacentral:lncRNA from 10 species